UCGACGGUGAGGGGCGAAGCCUAGGGGCACGAACCGGAUUAGAUACCCGGGUAGUCCUAGGUGUAAACGCUGUGGACUUGGUGUUGGGGAUUCUCCGAGGAUUCUCAGUGCCGAAGCGAAGGUGAUAAGUCCACUGCCUGGGGAGUACGGUCGCAAGGCUGAAACUUAAAGGAAUUGGCGGGGGAGCACCGCAACCUGAGGAUUGUGCGGUUUAAUUGGAUUCAACGCCGGAAAACUCACCAUAGCCGACGGACAUAUGAAGGCCAGCGUAAUGAGCUUGCUGGAUUGUUCGAGAGGUAGUGCAUGGCCGUCGUCAGUUCGUACCGCAAGGCGUUCUGUUAAGUCAGAUAACGAACGAGACCCUCAUCCCUAUUUGCCAAGAUCUGUCCGCAGAUCACGGGACUAUAGGGAGACCGCUGGCGCGAAGUCAGAGGAAGGCGAGGGCAACGGUAGGUCAGUAUGCUCCGAAUGCUAUGGGCUACACGCGCAAUACAAAGGACGGGACAAUGGGCUGCAACUCCGAGAGGAAUGACGCUAUCCCGAAACCCGUUCGUAGUUCGGAUUGAGGGCUGUAACUCGCCCUCAUGAAGCUGGAUUAGGUAGUAAUCGCGUCUCAAAAAGGCGCGGUGAAUAUGCCCCUGCUCCUUGCACACACCGCCCGU
rnacentral:rRNA from 1 species